rnacentral:tRNA from 1 species
UAGGGUAUAGUGUAAAGGUUAAUGCGUUUGUUUUGGGUACAAAAAAUUACAGGUUCGAGUCCUGUUACCCUAA